rnacentral:rRNA from 1 species
UGGGGAAUAUUGCACAAUGGGCGAAAGCCUGAUGCAGCGACGCCGCGUGAGGGAUGACGGCCUUCGGGUUGUAAACCUCUUUCAGCAGGGACGAAGCGCAAGUGACGGUACCUGCAGAAGAAGCACCGGCUAACUACGUGCCAGCAGCCGCGGUAAUACGUAGGGUGCAAGCGUUGUCCGGAAUUACUGGGCGUAAAGAGUUCGUAGGCGGUUUGUCGCGUCGUUUGUGAAAACCAGCAGCUCAACUGCUGGCUUGCAGGCGAUACGGGCAGACUUGAGUACUGUAGGGGAGACUGGAAUUCCUGGUGUAGCGGUGAAAUGCGCAGAUAUCAGGAGGAACACCGGUGGCGAAGGCGGGUCUCUGGGCAGUAACUGACGCUGAGGAACGAAAGCGUGGGUAGCGAACAGG